rnacentral:rRNA from 1 species
UUCGUAGGCGGAUAAGCAAGUAAGAGGUGAAAGCCCAGGGCUCAACCUUGGAACUGCCUUUUAAACUGCUUAUCUAGAGACCGGAAGAGGUUAGGGGAAUACCUAGUGUAGAGGUGAAAUUCGUAGAUAUUAGGUGGAACACCAGUGGCGAAGGCGCCUAACUGGUCCGGUACUGACGCUGAGGAACGAAAGCGUGGGGAGCAAACA